UCCAUAUCUUCUCCAUGAGGUCUCAGGCUUGGUCAUCCUCUAGGUACGAUCUUAAUUAGUCCUAUGUAGUCAUAUUUGGAUGAUAGUACUUCACUUGACCACAUAUGGAAUUACUGGAUGCUAUACAACUAAUGGACUCUAGAACUUGACAAUGAAAUUAUGGAAUUACUGGAUGCUAAACGUAAUGAAUUUAUCCUGCAUAAAUCCUCGCCUUCCUCUUUUGUUUGUUAUGCAGGGAAAAAACAAGUAAAAAAAUGAUGCCUUCUCAGUUCUCAUCGAUCUGGUAGCGGCAAGUUCAAUUCUGCAGCCUCGACCAUUUCGGCUGCUCAUCGAAUUGUUUCGUGUUACACUGGUGCAAGCCGGAGAAAAGCCUACUCUGGAUCCUAUUGCAGUUGACAUCUUCUUUGCGUUGCUUUCAUCGGUGAAAAUCCAGAACAAGAAGCACAUAUAUGAUGAUGCAUCACCGGCUGCCUCCACCGCUGUUUUCUCCUUAAACCUGUUUUCUCCUUAAAUCAGUCUGCCAACUAGACUAGACACUUCAAUUGAUGUCACAUAUUGUUGUACAGAACCUACAAUUUCUGUACAUAUAGAAACAUCAGAUUAGUACUUUUUUGGACACUGAUUUCUCUUCUCUAACUGAAGCAAGUCUCUUAUAUUUACUGAAAGGUAGAACUAACCAGUGAUCCUUGACGUGAAUUUCACAUCGCUACUAAACUCUCUUUAUAUCUUUAGAAUAUGAUUAUCAGGAGAUUAUCUUCAUCACAAAUCCAAACAGCUGUUGAGAUGCUAAUAUAAUCAAGAAAUUAUCUGGGUUGACACAUAAAAAAUAUAUUAACUCCAUCUGUUAUCAUGGUUGAUGUACAUGACUAUAUGCUCUCACCUUUUAUGAAAAAACAUGGGUUCCAAUUAUAUGUCUGUCUUCCUAUAAAGAGAACUUCCAUAUAUGCAAAUAAUUAACAUGCAACCCAGUUAACGAAGUUUUUCUUUUGAAGCUAUCAGUCCAUAAACUAACAAAAUACACAUGUAGAAUUACCCCUUUUUCCUCCUCUUCGACCACACAUCUGCUUGUCUGGAUUCUCAACGGCAUCAAUCACCACAUCCCCCGACAACUACGUCCAUGGCUGCUUCUUUCCGUAUGACCUUCUCCCUGUUGUCCUCCUCCCAAGCCAGCAGUCAUGGCAUCCCCAAGCAACAUAAGCCAGCAGCAACAAGGUAAGGACCCUCACCCCGUUUCCUCUCUACAGUUUGUUUUGCUCAGAUUUUGCUUUUCGGUUCUUACUGUUGAUGGAGACAUGUGUUUAUUUAUGUUUCGAAAUGAGACUCCUAAUUACAUUUAUAUCAGAAAUUGUUUGUAACCAUUUCGCAGUUUUGAUUGGUUGCUAUGGCAAAGUUGUUAAUUAUAUGUUUUGUUUGCAGCAACCAAUCUACAAACUGAGGAUUUCAUCCCAUCGCCCUUUGCUAGGAACCAGGUUUCAUUGUAUCCACUAUAUCACCUCGCUUGUUUGUUCAUUUCAUAUUUAAAUAUGUUAUCCAAUAUGAACAAUCCAGUCAUUUUGUAUGUUGUUUUCUUGCCAUUCUAUGCUAAUAUUAUUAUUUGUUCAAAUGCUUAUUUUUUUCUCUGAAAUGGCAUGAUCCCCAUCAAAACAAACUAUGUGAAUUGUUAGGUAAUUAAGUUCAAACUGUGAGCCGGAGCGCGAGAGAUCGCCACCGUUAUUGCCUCUACUUGCGCAGCCUACUGCAUGACCGCAACCCCUGGUACAUACCUAUUACCGAAUAAUACACAUGAAUGUGAGAUUUUCCUACCUUAUUUCAAUUCAGUUUGAGGUUGCAUUUUUUGCUGGUUUGUGAGAAUAUCUCGAGUCAGAUAAGGCAUGUCAAAAUGGGUGAUUAAGGUACUUCUAUUUUCAGGAUUUUAACAAGGCUGCCUGGUUUGUCACACUUUUAAAUGAAAAUCAGAAAAUGAUAAUUACAAAUGAUGGACAAAAUCCUUAAUUUAAUAUGUAUAGCCUCUUUGUCUGAAUUAAGACCAAUGCUUACUGAUUGAAUGGUGUCAACACGUUGGUAUCUAUCAAUUGGCUGUAAUGCUGCCCCAUUAGAUAUUCUGAGCUUAUUUUUAGCUUGCACAUUUUUGUUUCUUUCUUAAUUUAAGGCGGCAUAGGUUUCCGUGAAAGAGGAUCUUACAAAUUGGAUGCCAAUAUUUUUUAUCAAAAGAUUCUUAAAUUUCACGUACCAUCAAGUGACUGGUUUGCGAUCUUCCACACAUUACUUUAGGUAUCUCUUUGCCACAAAAUUCGGUAAAUUUCUUGUGAACUUAUUUUGAUAUUUUGUUGUGUCUUAAAAGCAAUUGGCUAAUUUUACUCCAGCGUUAGCAUGUGGAAGGUAUCGUAAUUAUUACGGGCACAUCUACAUUCAUGCACAUACACUGAGCUUUAAUCACUUCAUGCAAUUCUCAUUUGAUAUAGUAAGGACAGUUUUGUAAACGACACUCAAUUAUGAUUCUGAUUCGAUAGAUGAUGUUCUCUUACGGAUAUUAGCAAAAAUGUUAUGUAGGUAAUGUUGUUAUUAUUGUUUCCUUCAUCAACAUACACCACGUUAUUUACAGAGCAAUUAUAACUGUCUUAUACUUCUCCUUGGGACACUGCUUAUGUAUUUAUUUCUUCAAUUGAUUUGCCUUACUAAUAGUAUUUUGUUUGUAUUUCGAUGUAAGCAAUUGUAAGUCGGUUAACAUGUAGCACAACUUGAGACAUUGUUUCACAACCCACUGGCAUUUGAUAUUGAGCUUACGGCUUUUAUUAUUGUAGAUCGGAUGGAAUUUUACGACCUCAAAUCUGAGCAAGUGCACAUUCACGCAUCUAUCCUGGUGCAAUGCAAGAAUACUUGACCGUUAUAAUAUGAUGAUGUAGUGUAAUUGUAUCACUGGCCAGAACGCAUUGAAAUUUUCUUGAUAAUAUAUUGGAAGUUCUGAAAUAUUUGUACUGCCUAUUUUCUUCUCUCGAGUAUUCCUAAUGUCUUUCCUCUGUCUUUCCUCAAUAUUCUAUUUUGUAGCUAUCGUGAUGUGAACCUUUGCGGGAGAUGCCACAAUCCAUAUCAAUCAUCCUAAUUCAUAUCUCUCCUAAUUCAUAUCUCAUGCGCUUAAUACUGCUU
rnacentral:lncRNA from 1 species